GCCCAAGAGAAGGAGAUUGGAUUUGCUUUGAUAACUUAUGUGGCAACCUGAACUUUGCAAGGAGAGAGUAUUGUAACAACUGUAAGAGGCCUCGAUAUGGACAUGGGGGAAGUCCUCGGAGGGGAUAUCCUGGCCCUCCACCACCACACCCCCCUCCUAGACGCUUCCCUGGUCCUCCAUUGGAUAUUUCCCCUGGCAGGACUAUGAAUGGCUAUAGGUCUCCUCCUCGUGGCUGGGCCAGAGAUGGCCCUAGAGAUUUCGGGCCUGGUGGUCCUCCUCCUCCCAGACACGGAGGCAGGUUUUCUGAUCAUGACAUUCGGAGAGGUCGGCCUGAUUAUCCUGAUGAUGACUACCGGGGAAGGAACAAAUUUGAUAGGCCAAUGCCAGUGGAUUGGGGUCAUAGAGACCGAGGAAGGGAUAACUUUUUUAA
rnacentral:misc_RNA from 1 species